rnacentral:rRNA from 1 species
GACGAACGCUGGCGGCGUGCUUAACACAUGCAAGUCGAACGGAAAGGCCCUUCGGGGUGCUCGAGUGGCGAACGGGUGAGUAACACGUGGGUGAUCUGCCCUGCACUUUGGGAUAAGCCUGGGAAACUGGGUCUAAUACCGAAUAGGACUCCGGACUGCAUGGUCUGGGGUGGAAAGCUUUUGCGGUGUGGGAUGGGCCCGCGGCCUAUCAGCUUGUUGGUGGGGUGAUGGCCUACCAAGGCGACGACGGGUAGCCGGCCUGAGAGGGUGACCGGCCACACUGGGACUGAGAUACGGCCCAGACUCCUACGGGAGGCAGCAGUGGGGAAUAUUGCACAAUGGGCGCAAGCCUGAUGCAGCGACGCCGCGUGGGGGACGACGGCCUUCGGGUUGUAAACCUCUUUCAGCACAGACGAAGCGCAAGUGACGGUAUGUGCAGAAGAAGCACCGGCCAACUACGUGCCAGCAGCCGCCGUAAUAC